GCUCAGGAUGAACGCUGGCGGCGUGCCUAACACAUGCAAGUCGAACGAUCGCAAGAUAGUGGCGAACGGGUGAGUAACGCGUAGCUAAUCUGCCCUAAAGAGUAGGAUAACCACUGGAAACAGUGGCUAAUACUGCAUAAGCUCCCGAUCUGUAGAGGAUUGAGAGAAAAGCUCAGGCGCUUUAGGAAGAGGCUGCGUAUCAUCAGCUAGAUGGUGGGGUAAAGGCCUACCAUGGCGACGACGAUUAGGGGACCUGAGAGGGUGGCCCCCCACACUGGAACUGAGACACGGUCCAGACUCCUACGGGAGGCAGCAGUGAGGAAUAUUGCUCAAUGGGCGCAAGCCUGAAGCAGCGACGCCGCGUGGGCGAAGAAGGAUUUCGGUCUGUAAAGCCCUUUUCUGUGUGACGAGAGUGGACGGUAGCACAGGAAUAAGUCUCGGCUAACUACGUGCCAGCAGCCGCGGUAAAACGUAGGAGGCAAGCGUUAUCCGGAGUUACUGGGCGUAAAGCGCGUGUAGGCGGUUCAGUAAGUUACCCAUGAAAGCUCCUGGCUAAACUAGGAGAGGUUGGGUGAUACUGCUAGACUAGAGUGGAGAAGAGGUAAACGGAAUUCCGCGUGUAGUGGUGAAAUGCGUAGAUAUGCGGAAGAACACCAGUGGCGAAGGCGGUUUACUGGUCUCCAACUGACGCUCAGACGCGAAAGCAUGGGAAGCGAACGGGAUUAGAAACCCCGGUAGUCCAUGCCGUAAACGAUGUACACUAAACGUUCGUUAACCGAGAGGUUAGUGAGUGUUGAAGCAAACGCGAUAAGUGUACCGCCUGGGGAGUACGGUCGCAAGGCUAAAACUCAAAG
rnacentral:rRNA from 1 species